CACACGCACACACACACACGCUGGAGGGAAGAAAAGCAGUUUUCCUCCUUGAGUUGGGCAGAAGGAGUGCGUUUAGGCUGACAGAACAAACAGCAUCGAGUCUGUGUCUGAAUGUGUGUUGGCUAUGUGUGUGUGUUUAUGAGUGCGCGCGCAUCUGAAGAGGCUUUCUGACGGACCGCAGUUAAUGAAGAUGCUGACAGAUCUGAACAUCAUAAAUUCCUGAGGAGCUUCAUUCAUUCAUCUCCAGAUUGAGGUGUGUGAGGAUCAGUGAAGAGCAGAUGAUCUUAAACACGGACUGAGCGACACACAGGCUGCCGUCAGUGUGGAGUAGCUGUGGAGCAGUGUGUGUGUUUCCAUGCCCUGGUGGUGCUGGCAGCCGGCUCCAGUCUCAGGGAUGGAGCUCCGGGUACGGACGGGAAACGGAAAGUUCUGGACGUUGAUUCUGCUGGGCGUCGUGUGGAUUUAUUCGUCCG